rnacentral:rRNA from 1 species
GAUGAACGCUGGCGGCGUGCCUAAUACAUGCAAGUCGAGCGAACGGACGAGAAGCUUGCUUUUCUGAUGUUAGCGGCGGACGGGUGAGUAACACGUGGAUAACCUACCUAUAAGACUGGGAUAACUUCGGGAAACCGGAGCUAAUACCGGAUAAUAUUUUGAACCGCAUGGUUCAAAAGUGAAAGACGGUCUUGCUGUCACUUAUAGAUGGAUCCGCGCUGCAUUAGCUAGUUGGUAAGGUAACGGCUUACCAAGGCAACGAUGCAUAGCCGACCUGAGAGGGUGAGCGGCCACAAUGGAACUUAGAGACGGUCCAGACUCCGACGGGAGGCCGCAGGAGGGAAGAUUCCUAAAUGGGCGGAAGCCUGACGGAGCAACGACUCGUGAAUGAUGAAGGUCUUCGGAUCGGAAAAAUCUUUUAUUAGGGAAAAACAAAAGGGUAAGUAACUAGGCACGUCUUGACGGUACCUAAUCAGAAAGCCACGGCUAACUACGUG